AAAGUUUAAAGGACGCGGUAACCUUGACCGUGAUAAUGUAGCAUAAUCAUUCGCCAUUUAAUUGAUGGAUAGUAUGAAUGGUUGAACGAAUAUUUCACUGUCUUAAAAAGAAAUACCAAAAAAUUAGAAUAAUAGUAAAGAUACUAUUUAAAAUUGUAAGACGAAAAGACCCUAUAGAGCUUAACUAUAAUUUCUACUUAAAACAAUAAAAAACUUAGAAACAGAAGAAAUUGGUAGUUUAGUUGGGGCGACUGUCUUUUAAAAUAAACAAAGACAAGCAAAGUAAAUAAAAAAACUUAUUGUAUAAUUAAUAAAUUUAACAAUUAUAAAAAUAGGCUAUAAUGACCCGUUAUAAACUAGUAAAAGUAAUAACGAUCAAUAAAUAAAAGCUACCUUAGGGAUAACAGGAUAAUUUUAUUUUAGAGACCUAAUCGAAAAUAAAGUUUGUCACCUCUAUGUUGAAUUAAGA
rnacentral:rRNA from 1 species